rnacentral:rRNA from 1 species
CCUACGGGGGGCAGCAGUGAGGAAUAUUGGUCAAUGGACGAGAGUCUGAACCAGCCAAGUAGCGUGAAGGAUGACUGCCCUAUGGGUUGUAAACUUCUUUUAUAUGGGAAUAAAACGUUCCACGUGUGGGAUUUUGUAUGUACCAUAUGAAUAAGGAUCGGCUAACUCCGUGCCAGCAGCCGCGGUAAUACGGUGGAUCCGAGCGUUAUCCGGAUUUAUUGGGGUUAAAGGGAGCGUAGGUGGAUUGUUAAGUCAGUUGUGAAAGUUUGCGGCUCAACCGUAAAAUUGCAGUUGAAACUGGCAGUCUUGAGUACAGUAGAGGUGUGCGGAAUUCGUGGUGUAGCGGUGAAAUGCUUAGAUAUCACGAAGAACUCCGAUUGCGAAGGCAGUUCACUGGACUGCAACUGACACUGAGGCUCGAAAGUGUGGGUAUCAAACAGGAUUAGAUACCCCGGUAGUC